UGUGGUGCGCGAUCUUAUCAAGGAGGAGGUUUUUUCUCCACAUGGCACAAAUUCGAAUCAAUCAAGCCGUGGAAGCUGACUGUAGUUUUUCUCGUGACUUUUUGAUAACUCCACACCAACGCUUGGACGCUUAGAAAUCUAAACAUGGAUCGCAAAUGUUUGGUCUUCACCCUAGUCAUGAUGGUGAUGCUCUGCUUCUCCAGUUGCCAUGGGAAAAGUCUCGGGAUUCAUGAGCAAGCUUAUCUUGAGAAAGAUUUAUCAGAGAAUAAAGAAGCAUCUGACUGCUUUGAUCGAGCGGAUCAAUACUAUUGUUAUUCCAUUCAACUGUUUGUUAGCGAUUGUACAGAGGAAUACAUAUAUAUGUGCAAGAAAUCUUGUAAUAAAUGUUGAAGGGCAAAGUGUUACGGGCGUGACAAGAAUGGUUAGACGAUGCACAUUUCGUUUCUUGUGGUCAAGAUGCUUCUUUGGUUCUAACAACCUAUAUAUAUAUAUAUAU